GGUCAACUUUUUCUAUCCUAUUAGGUCCGAGUACACAGUUAUUGUCCUUUGAUUUUCGUUGUCCACGAAUAUAGUCCUUAAUGUGGACAGUGUGUUACUUGCCAAUUUUUGUUAUACCCCUUCCAAAUUUAAUUCUCCAUGUUUUAUGCCUCAUAUAGCAAGUUGGGGGGUGAAAUGACACUGUAAAAAAAUUUGGGUCAUAAAUAUUUAGGUAAAGUAGUGAUUAGGUCCAGCUGAAAAAGGUCAAAAAUUAGCACUUCGGAAGCUGUCAAAAGAUUUCAAGACCCCCUUAACACAAAAUUGUCCAUAUUUUGAGUUAGAGCUGAUGAAGUUUUCUAUAAUUUUGAUAUAAUUUGUCCCAAAAGUAGUACAACACACUGUAAAAAUGUUAUUGAGAAAGCGCAGGUGGGAUUUUUUUUAUUUACAUUUAUUGUCUAAAAGAAAUGCACUACGAAAUAACUGUGUACUCGGACCAGAUCAUCAAUAUAAGCAUAACAACGGUCUAAAUCUUUUAUAACAUUAUUGAUCAUUCUUUGAAAUGUAGCUGGAGCACUUUUCAUGCCAAA
rnacentral:lncRNA from 1 species